GAUGAACGCUGGCGGCGUGCCUAAUACAUGCAAGUCGAGCGAACGGACGAGAAGCUUGCUUCUCUGAUGUUAGCGGCGGACGGGUGAGUAACACGUGGAUAACCUACCUAUAAGACUGGGAUAACUUCGGGAAACCGGAGCUAAUACCGGAUAAUAUUUUGAACCGCAUGGUUCAAAAGUGAAAGACGGUCUUGCUGUCACUUAUAGAUGGAUCCGCGCUGCAUUAGCUAGUUGGUAAGGUAACGGCUUACCAAGGCAACGAUGCAUAGCCGACCUGAGAGGGUGAUCGGCCACACUGGAACUGAGACACGGUCCAGACUCCUACGGGAGGCAGCAGUAGGGAAUCUUCCGCAAUGGGCGAAAGCCUGACGGAGCAACGCCGCGUGAGUGAUGAAGGUCUUCGGAUCGUAAAACUCUGUUAUUAGGGAAGAACAUAUGUGUAAGUAACUGUGCACAUCUUGACGGUACCUAAUCAGAAAGCCACGGCUAACUACGUGCCAGCAGCCGCGGUAAUACGUAGGUGGCAAGCGUUAUCCGGAAUUAUUGGGCGUAAAGCGCGCGUAGGCGGUUUUUUAAGUCUGAUGUGAAAGCCCACGGCUCAACCGUGGAGGGUCAUUGGAAACUGGAAAACUUGAGUGCAGAAGAGGAAAGUGGAAUUCCAUGUGUAGCGGUGAAAUGCGCAGAGAUAUGGAGGAACACCAGUGGCGAAGGCGACUUUCUGGUCUGUAACUGACGCUGAUGUGCGAAAGCGUGGGGAUCAAACAGGAUUAGAUACCCUGGUAGUCCACGCCGUAAACGAUGGGUGCUAAGUGUUAGGGGGUUUCCGCCCCUUAGUGCUGCAGCUAACGCAUUAAGCACUCCGCCUGGGGAGUACGACCGCAAGGUUGAAACUCAAAGGAAUUGACGGGGACCCGCACAAGCGGUGGAGCAUGUGGUUUAAUUCGAAGCAACGCGAAGAACCUUACCAAAUCUUGACAUCCUUUGACAACUCUAGAGAUAGAGCCUUCCCCUUCGGGGGGGCAAAGUGACAGGUGGUGCAUGGUUGUCGUCAGCUCGUGUCGUGAGAUGUUGGGUUAGGUCCCGCAACGAGCGCAACCCUUAAGCUUAGUUGCCAUCAUUAAGUUGGGCACUCUAAGUUGACUGCCGGUGACAAACCGGAGGAAGGUGGGGAUGACGUCAAAUCAUCAUGCCCCUUAUGAUUUGGGCUACACACGUGCUACAAUGGACAAUACAAAGGGCAGCGAAACCGCGAGGUCAAGCAAAUCCCAUAAAGUUGUUCUCAGUUCGGAUUGUAGUCUGCAACUCGACUACAUGAAGCUGGAAUCGCUAGUAAUCGUAGAUCAGCAUGCUACGGUGAAUACGUUCCCGGGUCU
rnacentral:rRNA from 1 species